CUCAUCCCCUGUCAACCCAUGCACCGGACCCAGCUCAUUGCAAAGCCCAUCCCAUUCAAGCUGUUCCGUAAUGACGCAUUAGUAGCAUAACAAAUAUCAUGCUUCCAAUAAAAAAAAAAACACAUUAAGGGUACAAUUAAGCCAAGGUAAAGAAACGUUCACCGUUUUCCGAUCCCACUGAGCCCGCAUAAGCAUCAUCUCUCUAUAUCUGUGCGUUUCUAAAAUUCUAAAAAUCCUCUCUAAUGCUUACUUAAUCAAUCAUCAUCUGCCUUAGGCGUAUAAACCCCAAGGAUUUGUACAUGGUAUUUAUAUUAGGAAACUUUGGUAUUCUUUUGCAAUUUCCCCAUUCAUCAUCGGCAUCGCAGUAUAAACCCUAGGCGUCUGCUUUGGUAAGGUUGGACGUGGUAUACUGUGGACGUGCAAAAGUGGUGCGGGCUGAUCCUAGUCUCUAGGGAUAGUUAGACGGAAUUGGAGUUUAAUGGCUGUAAUUUAGGAAUUUAUUAUUAGUGGAUUAGUGAUAGGGUUAGUGUUUCGGUUUAAUGUAAAGUCUAUUUAAAGACGUUUUUGUUAAUGAAAAAUUAUGCAGCAGAAGUUUUAUCAAAUGUAGAUCUUAAUUUUACGGUGUUUCAAUCUCUCUCUCACUCCUCUCUGUGCUAUGUGGGAAAUUCCCACAUCUAUUUAAUAAAGCUUUUAAUGAGAGAAAAAGAAAGAGGCGUGAAAUUAAUACCAGAGAGAGUAACAAGGUGAAUAACAAUUGUAGUACUAGUGGUACUGACAAUUCAGCAGGUAUUAUUGGUAGCAGUGCCUCAGAAAUAGUGAGGAAAAUGAAAUUAUCAGACAGAGUAAGAAGAAUAAGAAGAUGAAGAUGGGUAACAAUUGGAAGCCAAUGGCCAAGUGUAGUGAGGUACUGAGGAGAAUAUAGGUAGUAGUAGCCUCAGCAAUAGUGAGGAAAAUGAAAUCAUUAGACAGAGUAAGAAGAUGAAGAUGGAUAACAAUUGGAAGCCAAUGGCCAAGUGUAGUAAUGACAAGAAGGUUCUGGGCAGCAGUAGUAUUUUCGAUCACUAUAGAAUCAUGCGUGAGAUAUUAAGCAGGCUCCCAGUCAAAUCACUCAUGUGUUUCAAGUGUGUAAGCAAACAUUGGAAGUUCUCAAUCUGCCAUGAUCAAGGCUUGAUUGAUUUACACUUCACUCGGUCGAAGCAACAUUGUCCAGAUCUCUUUCUUGUUGUUCCGCGUCAUACCGUUAAUCUCUUAGGAAGACACCCAGGGUCCAGGAUUACACGCAGGUAUGCGGGUGUGAAGGAGUAUAAGUACCAAGAGUCUUUUUUGCUAGGCAAUUUAUUUGGAAGUGGAUCAUCGCCAGCCAUUAUAACUACUGUUCGGAAAUUAGAGCGAAAGCCAUUUCAUUAUACUGAUAGUCUAGCACCUGUUAAUGGUUUGAUUUGUUUUGUUAACCGUCGUUUAUCUGCUGUUUGCAUAUUAAAUCCAUGUACUAGAGAACUAACGCCAUGGAUCACUUCUUCGCUUCAUCAAAACAAAAAGUACAACUUCGCUGAAGAGUUUGCUCUUGGUGUAUGGUUACCAACAUACUUCUUUGGAUUUGAUCCUGCCACCAAACGACACAAAGUUGUAUGCACUUGGCGUAUACGUAAACAAGUGACAGACUUUUCUAAGAUCGUAAGUGUAGAUGACGAAAUACAGUGGACAGACAUUUGUGAGGUCUUGACUGUAGGAGAGAACACUUGGAGAAACAUCGAUGAGAAGGUUCCAUUUUCAUACGAGGUAGAAGUUUCAGUUUAUUCAAAUGGUUUCAUUUACUGGGGUAACGACUUCGUGGGAAUCCCUGAAAAUAUAAAUGCAUUCGACGUUGGGCAGGAGAAAUUCAAAGUGAUUAGGGUUCCUCAAGAAAUCAGAGACAAAUGUGAGAAUCCACCCGGAGGUGAUUGUGGUCCUUUUCAUAGUUUAUUAGAAGUGGGUGGACUGGUAAGGUUGUGAAGCUGUGGAUUUGCAGUGAUGAUAAUUCUACUGGUAGCUACAGCACGUGGACUGAAAUUACUAUGGAAUUACCUUUUCAGUGGGGGGGCGGGAAUGGUAGAUAUCCUUACUUCCAUGGUGUUGCGGGAGAAGACCGGAUCAUUAUCGAGUCCUACCCAACUAUUUCGGCAUCAGAUAUAGAGAAAGUCCGUCUAUAUUCUUAUGAUUGGAAUAAGAAGACGUCAACAAAAAAAGCUAAAGAUGGUGUGGUUUCAGAGUUGGUUUCUGUUUCCUUAUUUUCCAAAUUAGCUUUUGUUACCUUAUUUAGAUCUUUUGCGGAAAGCCUUUGGCCUGUUCGAGGGCGCCAAUUCAGACACCAAGAAACUGAAAAGGCUCGUUUGCGGCUAAAUGUUGAUAUUACUGCUGCACCAGAUUCCGCUCCUGCACCUGCGCCAAUUGAAUCUUUUACAAAUAUGGUACAUGGUUUUCUUUUCUAGAUAUUAUGACUCUAUGAGCAAGAUUCGCCAAUUGAAUCUUUUACAAAUAUGGUACAUGGUUUUCUUUUCUAGAUAUUAUGACUCUAUGAGCAAGAUUCACAUCGCUAUAACUGUGUUUACACCUUUUCUAGUGUUUGCAUGAAAGUAUCAUGAAAGAUAUAUCGUUUCACAAGUAUUCUAGACCGACCUCUAUUCAGGCCCAAGCUAUGCCAGUUGCUCUGAAUGGAAGGGAUCUUUCGGGUUGUGCAGAGACUGGGAGUGGGAAAAUUGCUGCUUUUGCUAUUCCAAUGAUUCAGCAUUGCUUAGCCCAGCCUUCUGUUCAGCGAGGUGAUGGUCCUCUUGCGUUAGGAUUGGCACCUACCAGAGAACGUGCCCAGCAGAUAGAGAAAGAGGUGAGGUUACUGAUUAUCUACCACAAGAUUAGUGGCAUUUUUGCGCCGGUUCUUUCAUCUUAUGUGUAUUACACAAUCAGAUUUUUUGUAUCGUAAACAGUGUUGCUAGGAAGUCUGUGAAUUAUCUUCGUUGAUUGUGACCUCCACUUGUUACUAUUUUUUUUUAAACUUAGAAUAACCAAAUUGAGGAAAUUAUUCCUGGGCUGGAACAUAACUUCUGCGAAAUUUCACUUUUGCACUUGGAAAAUGUAAGAACUGUGUUUGUAUUCAA